AGCAGCCGCGGUAAUUCCAGCUCCAAUAGCGUAUAUUAAAGUUGUUGCAGUUAAAAAGCUCGUAGUUGAAUUUCGAGAUCAAAUUGUUGGUCGUGCCUCGGUACGUACUGGCAUUAUUGAUUUCUCCCUUCUGACGAUCCGCGAUGUCAUUAAUUUGGUGUCGCGGGGAAUCAGGACUGUUACUUUGAAAAAAUUAGAGUGUUUAAAGCAGGCUCACGCUUGAAUACAUUAGCAUGGAAUAAUGAAAUAGGACGUUUGAUUCUAUUUUGUUGGUUUCUAGGAUCGACGUAAUGAUUAAUAGGGAUAGUUGGG
rnacentral:rRNA from 1 species